rnacentral:rRNA from 1 species
UACGUAGGGUGCAAGCGUUAAUCGGAAUUACUGGGCGUAAAGCGUGCGCAGGCGGUUUUGUAAGUCUGUCGUGAAAUCCCCGGGCUCAACCUGGGAAUGGCAUUGGAUACUGGCUCGCUAGAGUGCGGUAGAGGGUGGUGGAAUUCCCGGUGUAGCAGUGAAAUGCGUAGAGAUCGGGAGGAACAUCUGUGGCGAAGGCGGCCACCUGGACCAACACUGACACUGAGGCACGAAAGCGUGGGGAGCAAACAGG